rnacentral:tRNA from 1 species
GCCCAGAUAGCUCAGUCGGUAGAGCAAGAGACUGAAAAUCUCUGUGUCGCUGGUUCGAUUCCGGCUCUGGGCGCCA